rnacentral:misc_RNA from 1 species
GGAAGAAGAAGAAGAAGAAGAAUGCUCAUUCAUCUCCCAAUUCUUAUGAUCCACCUUUUCUUCCAAAAAUGGUGAUCUUGUUCCAUCUUCCUCCAUGCUUAUUGUUCCUACAAAACUACUUCAGUAAACAUCGAGAAGAUAAAAUAAAUAGAGAUACACAGAAAGCAAUGAUUUCAAGACCGUUUGGUGGACCAAAGAGCACGUUUCAGCAAAUCCUCCCAACUACCCUGCACUGCAACAGACCUUAUCCUUUGGGACACUAUUGAUUUCUGAUUAUUUGAAAGUGCUAUGCGUUUCAAG